UACGGAGGGGACUAGCGUUGUUCGGAAUUACUGGGCGUAAAGCGCACGUAGGCGGAUUUGUAAGUCAGGGGUGAAAUCCCGGGGCUCAACCUCGGAACUGCCUUUGAUACUGCAAAUCUCGAGUCCGGAAGAGGUGAGUGGAAUUCCGAGUGUAGAGGUGAAAUUCGUAGAUAUUCGGAGGAACACCAGAAGCGAAGGCGGCUCACUGGCCCGAUACUGACGCUGAGGCGCGAAAGCGUGGGGAGCAAACAGG
rnacentral:rRNA from 1 species